UCCAGAAAACUACUUGGGUUG
rnacentral:siRNA from 1 species